GUUGUAAGUAGUGUUGACUCUGAGAACUUGGGCACUAAAUAUAGACCACUGCAUUUGCAGGAGGUUAGAGAGUAGGCACCACAUCAAGAUCAGAAGACUUUUUUUAAAAAACAAACAAACAAAAAAAAUCACCAGCUUUGCUCAAAAAGAAGUUGCAGGUAGGACUCAAGGAACCCAGGGAAAGACACAUUUUGUGCUGCCUCAUAAGGUCUCAAUGAUGAUCACUGUUUACCUCAGUGUCUUAUCGUCUCUUCAUGGUCUCAGAGAAGACUAUGAAAAUUCAUCAGAAGAAACCCAACCAGCCCACAACAUAUAUGCUAGCAAGAGAACAGCAUUAGUACUGAACUGAACAAGACAAAGCUAUUGUAUCACUCAAUGUAUGAAGAAAUGUAUGAAGAUAUAUAUGAAGAAACAGAGGUGAUUUUUUUUUGUUGUUGUUUUGUUUGUUUGUUUGUUUCUCCUCUUCUCUCUCCUCUUUCCUCUUCCUGGUAAGGUUAAUUUUUUUGUUGUUGUUGUCUUAUGAUAUAGUUUUGAUUAUUAAAAAUACAGAUUGUCUGAUUAAUUAUAAAUCAAUAGCCCAUUUAAAUUUGAAAUGAAGAAUUUCAGUCACUAAAAAAGAAAAUCUAGUCAUUCUGGUACAAACAUGGAAAAAAAAACAAUUAAAUAUUCCAAAAGUAUAGGUGAAAAUCACAUUUUUUCAAUUCCUUUUUAAGAAGUGUAUGCUUUGUAAUUCUUAAGUAGUAAUUUUCAUUUAGUCUCCAAAUAGCAUAGAACUUAAAUAAUAUUUCUACCCAGGCUCUCUGUACCAAAGGUAGUAGAGUGAUCUGCCUGAAUCUCUUCAACAUUACACCAUACAAUUUUUAGCGACUUUUAUGAUAUUUUUAGAAAUUGCUUCUGAUACUGUUAAGCUUCAGGUGAAGACAACUAAUCUUUACCACACCUAGAGGAUGUUUCCUGAAACUGGCCAGCCUCAAAUUGUGAUCUUGUUGUGUUUGAAGAGAAUAUCACAAGAUCUUGCUUGAUCUAGUCUGCAGACACAAGUUGAUGUAAGGAGACCUCAGCUUUGACUCAGCAGUGUGUGUGUAUGUGUACAUAGUUGAAUAUAUGUUUUAAUACAUUCAACUCAAGAAAUUAGUACUUAAAAAGAGUCAUCUCACAAAGCAAAUGAAGAAAAAUAUCACCCUUUAUUUCAUCAGCAAAGAAUGAUGGUAAGUGUCUGUCAUGCAAUAAAAGUUCUAACCUAGUUUCCUUCCA
rnacentral:lncRNA from 1 species